GGAAACUCUGCUCCGGACAAAUGGGAACGAUGAGACAUUGUACGGAGC
rnacentral:ncRNA from 1 species